GCAAACUUGGUCAUUUAGAGGAAGUAAAAGUCGUAACAAGGUUUCCGUAGGUGAACCUGCGGAAGGAUCAUUACCAAGCCGGGCCGAAACUUAUAAGGCCUUGAGGCGAUUCACCUCUGACCCGACCUGCACGUCCAGCCCUUUCGGGGGAUGCGCGUGUAGAAGUUACGGUCAAUGUGUUCACCCAUUGUGAAAAGAUUCUACCUUUGCUUCGGCAGCACCGUGUGGUUAACAACCGCAAGGGUAAGGCUGUCAGAAGCCCUUAACAAAACCAGUUGAUGAAAUGUCAUGCUGUCUGAUAUACGUUAUGUUUGAGAAAUCAAAUAUCAUUAAAACUUUCAGCAACGGAUCUCUUGGUUCCCGCAUCGAUGAAGAACGCAGC
rnacentral:misc_RNA from 1 species